GACGAACGCUGGCGGCGUGCCUAAUACAUGCAAGUAGAACGCACAGUUUAUACCGUAGCUUGCUACACCAUAAACUGUGAGUUGCGAACGGGUGAGUAACGCGUAGGUAACCUGCCUGGUAGCGGGGGAUAACUAUUGGAAACGAUAGCUAAUACCGCAUAAUAUUGAUUAUUGCAUGAUAAUUGAUUGAAAGAUGCUAUUGCAUCACUACCAGAUGGACCUGCGUUGUAUUAGCUAGUAGGUGAGGUAACGGCUCACCUAGGCGACGAUACAUAGCCGACCUGAGAGGGUGAUCGGCCACACUGGGACUGAGACACGGCCCAGACUCCUACGGGAGGCAGCAGUAGGGGAUCUUCGGCAAUGGACGAAAGUCUGACCGAGCAACGCCGCGUGAGUGAAGAAGGUUUUCGGAUCGUAAAGCUCUGUUGUAAGAGAAGAACGGGUGUGAGAGUGGAAAGUUCACACUGUGACGGUAUCUUACCAGAAAGGGACGGCUAACUACGUG
rnacentral:rRNA from 1 species